rnacentral:lncRNA from 1 species
CUGCCGAGGGGCUUGCUGCUUCUUAGUACCUGCCCUGCUGCCAGCACUCUCCGGACUCUACUUUCAGAUCAAGGUCACACCCUUCCACCCACUUGCAUGCCAAGGUCACACCCUUCCCCGGACAGGCAGGUCACCUCUGUGUUCUGUUUCAAGUUUCUGAGCACCCUGUGCUGUUGGCGGGCACUGUCUGGCUUGCAUCUCAGCUGGAUUUCUCCCUCUUCCCAAUUCUGCCUCAGCCCAGUCCUUUGCACGGGUGUUGACUCAAGCACCACUCCCUGAUAAACAUCCGGAACUCUAAGCUCUGCCUGACUCUGUUUCCUGGAGAAGUUGAACUGCUUUACAGCAUGAAGAGCCUCGAUGAGUCAGAUGGUGAAAAGUACUGAAGUGACUGAGGACCGAAUGAUGAUGAUGAGGAGCCUGCAGAGACCAGAAGGGGGUGUUGGAUAUGUCAGCACUGAAGUGACAGGUAAGCUGCCAUGUGGCUGCUGGGAACUGAACUCGAGUCCUCUUCAAGAACAAGGACAGAAGACAGUGUCAGAUCCCCUGGAAUUAGAGUUACAAAUGGCUGUAAGCAACCUGAAAGGUAUUGGAAAUCAAACCCAUGUCCUCUGCAAAGAGCAGCCAGUGCUCUUAACUACUGGGCCAUCUCUCCAGCGUGCCCCAUCCCCACUCCAUGUUAUAACUUUUUAAAGCUUUCAUACAGGAGUCUAUAGUACUUCAAAGAGAUAUCUUGCCUGACUCUGCCACACCAACUGUCACAAAGGUCCCAGGACACGAUGUGGGUGGUUCUUCUCCACACCACAAAGGUGGACCACCGAGGACCUGCAUCCUUCUGUGAUUUCUCACCCACCCGAGAGCCCAUGCCAAGCCCUUAGAGCGCCUCCUGAAUUCCUUUCUAUCCCAUCUCAUGCCUUACAUGAGUUAAACAGUUCCUGAUAGACAAAAUGGGUAACUCAGUAUUCUGUGUAUAAACUGAAUUUCCUAGUGCUGCUUAGGACAUCGUGCUCAACGGAGCAAUAGAAAGUCAAUUUAACACAAUAAACAGGGAAAGCAGAAAGAGUAAACAAAACGUGGAAGGGUGAGGCUUGUUCUUUCUGAUGAGGCAGCUUCCUGUCAGCCUUUGAAAGAACAAGUUUUUGAAAAAUGUCCGACCCUACUCAUUUGGUUUUUUCCACAGUCCAUUACAUAUUUUUAUACAUUUCCAGAAAAAAAAAUAUGAGAAAAGAUGUGAUUAAAACCAGAAAUAAUUCACAAGUGGAAUACAAGUUAUUUUAUUAAUUUGUUUAAGUGUGUGUGUGUGUGUGUGUGUGUGUGUGUGUGUGUGUGUGUGUGUGUGUAUGCGCCCUCUGUGGAGGACAUAGGAAAAUCUGUAGGAGUCAAUUCUUCCCUUCCCUUGUGUGGGGCCUGGGAUCUAACUCACACCUUCAUCUGAGCCAUUUUGUCAACACCAUGCAAACUAUUUUAAAGCUUUUUGUUUGUUUUGAAACAGGCCCCUCAUGUAGUCCAGACUGGCCUCACCUCAAUGGCCCUGCCUCAGCAUCUCAGAGUGCUGGGUUAAGAGUCCACACCACUACCUAGGGUUCUUUAAGCUAUUUUUCAUCUGAAACAAACCUCCAGGAAGCAUCCACCACAGUUCAAGGGUGCAAAAACAGC